GGUUUUAUAGUGUAGUGAUGAUCAUGUCUGCUUCACGGAGAAAAGUUCCUGGGUUCAAUCCCCAGUGAAACCA
rnacentral:tRNA from 1 species